rnacentral:lncRNA from 1 species
UUUGGCAUAUAAAAUUAACUCAUACUAGUAUGGACUUAAUCUCAAAAGACCUUGUCAUUGGUUCACUUAGAUUAUUUUUUGCAAGGUCAAAGUUUGCUAUGUAUGACAUCUAGAAAAACAAACUAGAAUCAUUUCUAAAUCUGAAAAUAUUGUUUCCACCUUUUAGCCGUUGGAAAUUCUCCAUAAGAACUUAUUUGGAUCUCUAGGAUUGUGAACCUAGGAGAUAAGCUCUCUAAUUUUGUAAUUAUGGAUGAUUUCUCAAAGCUAAUGUUGGUUUUAUUCUUGGCACUU